rnacentral:rRNA from 1 species
UUUUAUCUCUAAAAUUAUGGUGGCUAAAGUUGAACUGAAACUCUGGGGGCGAAAUAACAAGGUGGGGUCCGUUCCCAUAAGGCAUAGCCUUCUGGCCCCCGCCCUUCGUUAUGUUUGUCCGGUAGCAGAACGUACUGUUAAUUGUUCAGUGAGAGCCCCACACGGCAUCAGAAGUGAUAAUGUGGACAUGAGUAAAAAAUCAUAGGAUCACUCCCCCCCUGGUUUCCCAUAUUAGGUAUGGGGUUAAACAGCCCCUAAAAUUGCAGCCCCAAAGGUUGCGUUAAUGGGGGGCCAUGAGUAAUAGACGCACAAAGUGCCAGGAAAGAAUUAUUCAAGAGCCAAAGGGGCCUUGCAGGCCUUACCUGCAAGGACCCGAUGGGGACCAUCUCUCGGCGCCGCACUGUACUAAACUAACUAAAGUGGGGGAUAGUGAGGGGAUAAAUUUCCUUAAGGAACUCGGCAAAAUCCCAAUGGCCCACCAGGGCAUUUAACUUUUGUAGCAAGGUAUCAAGGUACCUUCUACGAAGGUGGGGACCUCCACCCUAACGGGUGGCGGUUCCUUGGAUUGGAACACGGGCCUCGACUGUUUACCAAAAACAUAGCCCUCGGCCAAUAUGAAAAUAGAAGUAUGGAGGGUGAGGCCUGCCCAAUGGUUGUAUCUAAAAGCGGCUGAUGAAAGUCGGUCUCGUAAGGACAAUUGAAUGGCCGCGGUAACACUGACCGUGAUAAUGUAGCGUAAUCAAUAGCCAAUUAAUUGUUGGCCAGUAUGAAUGGCGCCACGAAGGCCCCACUGUCUUAAGGAAAUUCCCAGUGAAAUUGAAUUCGUAGUGAAGAUGCUACGUCCAAUUUGUUAGACGAAAAGACCCCGUUGAGCUUUACUGGGGCACUUACACUGCCCCCGCCUGCGAGACUAGGCCAAGGCUUACCAUACCUAGGGACUGGCUGAAUUGAAAUGGGUGGCUUAGACUAUGUGGCAGCCCCCCCCGUCGGGGCAGAUGAAACCCCACUCCCCCAUGUCAAAGGGGCUAACCCCCCCCCCUUGGGGGGCACAGUGUAAGUAGGACAGUUUGGUUGGGGCGACCGCCUUUUAGAGAGUAACGAAGGUGCGCUUAAGGUGCGCAAUUAAUGACUGAAGCCUGACUGCGAGGGGGACACCCCGAGCAGACACCCCCAAGCCCGCCCGCCCAGAAGGCGAUGCAACAAGGACAGAGACUUUGUCUCUGUGCCUUUAGCCUUCUGGGAGGGCGGCGGUGGGGUGGGCCAUAGUGACCCGUUAAUUUAGAGUGGAAUAGUUAACGAUCAACGAAUAAAAGUUACCACGGGGAUAACAGCGUAAU